CCUCAUCUGGCAACAACCCAUAUGACUGUGGACAAGAGAACAGAUAAAUAAAGAGUGGAGGUCUUCAUGCCUUCCUGGCAGGAUUUCAUCACUGCUGUGGACCAGUGACAGCUGUGUCUCCCGUUCGUCUCUUUCCACACAUAUACCAAGAACCAAGGAUACUGAGGUGAAUGAAAUUGAUCAUGCCCUUGAGGAGGUAAGUUUUUUUGUGGCAGUGGUUUUCAGUACUAUAGGGUGACUACAAAUCAGCUGAGGAGUUUGUUCCUACCCAUAAACAUUUAGAUAUUGAUCAGGGAAAGAUUAGCUAUUUAUUAAUAAUUGUUGGAGUUGGGUGAUGUGUAUAUUUGGGAUUGUUAUAACAUUGUCUUUUUUAUUUGUGUGAAAAUUUCCAUAUAACUUAUUUUUUAUAUCCUGAGAAUUUACCAUGUUUUAUUAAAAAGUCAAAAGAUGUUAGUAUCUUUAGUUUACAAAUAUAUUUGUUCCUUCUCCAAGAUGGGAGACCAAGAUACAUCAUAGAGCAAUUCUUAUCAUAUAGCUGGCCUCAAUCAUACAUACUGCCAUAAUUAAAGUAUACUUUGAGCCAGAUAAUGUGCUUUUUUUACUUUGAUUUGUGAUACAUGAAUUGGUAAGCAGUUUGUUCCAUAAUAGGCAGUAAAGGAAGCUUGUUUGACUCCAACAAAUUUCUAAAAGUAGUUUUACAUGCAAAUCAUUAGGAAAAACUAACUUGACUAAAACAUUUAAAACAUUUAAAAAGAAAUUGACAAUAAGACUGAGGGAUAUGUAAGGUGAACAGAAUAAAUAAUCUAAACAUUAAAACUCUCCCAAGUCAUGGUGUACAUCUGAAGAUAGGAAUUAUACUCUAGUAUAUGUGAAACAUGAAUAAAGUUGUAAAGUAAUAAAAUCAAGUGAUCAUCUUUUUAAAAUACCUUAUUAUAAAUUAUGUGCUAGUUGUUAAAACUUCAAAUAGUAAAACUGAGUAUUGAAUGAAUGAAUGGAUGCAUAAAUAAAUAAAUAGGUGGUUUUCUUUAGCCUCAGUUUAAAAGUCACA
rnacentral:lncRNA from 1 species